GGGUUGUGAGGUUAAGCGACUAAGCGUACACGGUGGAUGCCCUGGCAGUCAGAGGCGAUGAAGGACGUGCUAAUCUGCGAUAAGCGUCGGUAAGGUGAUAUGAACCGUUAUAACCGGCGAUUUCCGAAUGGGGAAACCCAGUGUGAUUCGUCACACUAUCAUUAACUGAAUCCAUAGGUUAAUGAGGCGAACCGGGGGAACUGAAACAUCUAAGUACCCCGAGGAAAAGAAAUCAACCGAGAUUCCCCCAGUAGCGGCGAGCGAACGGGGAGGAGCCCAGAGCCUGAAUCAGUGUGUGUGUUAGUGGAAGCGUCUGGAAAGGCGCGCGAUACAGGGUGACAGCCCCGUACACAAAAAUGCACAUAUUGUGAGCUCGAUGAGUAGGGCGGGACACGUGGUAUCCUGUCUGAAUAUGGGGGGACCAUCCUCCAAGGCUAAAUACUCCUGACUGACCGAUAGUGAACCAGUACCGUGAGGGAAAGGCGAAAAGAACCCCGGCGAGGGGAGUGAAAAAGAACCUGAAACCGUGUACGUACAAGCAGUGGGAGCCUCUUAAUGGGGUGACUGCGUACCUUUUGUAUAAUGGGUCAGCGACUUAUAUUCUGUAGCAAGGUUAACCGAAUAGGGGAGCCGAAGGGAAACCGAGUCUUAACUGGGCGUUAAGUUGCAGGGUAUAGACCCGAAACCCGGUGAUCUAGCCAUGGGCAGGUUGAAGGUUGGGUAACACUAACUGGAGGACCGAACCGACUAAUGUUGAAAAAUUAGCGGAUGACUUGUGGCUGGGGGUGAAAGGCCAAUCAAACCGGGAGAUAGCUGGUUCUCCCCGAAAGCUAUUUAGGUAGCGCCUCGUGAAUUCAUCUCCGGGGGUAGAGCACUGUUUCGGCAAGGGGGUCAUCCCGACUUACCAACCCGAUGCAAACUGCGAAUACCGGAGAAUGUUAUCACGGGAGACACACGGCGGGUGCUAACGUCCGUCGUGAAGAGGGAAACAACCCAGACCGCCAGCUAAGGUCCCAAAGUCAUGGUUAAGUGGGAAACGAUGUGGGAAGGCCCAGACAGCCAGGAUGUUGGCUUAGAAGCAGCCAUCAUUUAAAGAAAGCGUAAUAGCUCACUGGUCGAGUCGGCCUGCGCGGAAGAUGUAACGGGGCUAAACCAUGCACCGAAGCUGCGGCAGCGACACUAUGUGUUGUUGGGUAGGGGAGCGUUCUGUAAGCCUGUGAAGGUGGCCUGUGAGGGUUGCUGGAGGUAUCAGAAGUGCGAAUGCUGACAUAAGUAACGAUAAAGCGGGUGAAAAGCCCGCUCGCCGGAAGACCAAGGGUUCCUGUCCAACGUUAAUCGGGGCAGGGUGAGUCGACCCCUAAGGCGAGGCCGAAAGGCGUAGUCGAUGGGAAACAGGUUAAUAUUCCUGUACUUGGUGUUACUGCGAAGGGGGGACGGAGAAGGCUAUGUUGGCCGGGCGACGGUUGUCCCGGUUUAAGCGUGUAGGCUGGUUUUCCAGGCAAAUCCGGAAAACCAAGGCUGAGGCGUGAUGACGAGGCACUACGGUGCUGAAGUAACAAAUGCCCUGCUUCCAGGAAAAGCCUCUAAGCAUCAGGUAACAUCAAAUCGUACCCCAAACCGACACAGGUGGUCAGGUAGAGAAUACCAAGGCGCUUGAGAGAACUCGGGUGAAGGAACUAGGCAAAAUGGUGCCGUAACUUCGGGAGAAGGCACGCUGAUAUGUAGGUGAAGCGACUUGCUCGUGGAGCUGAAAUCAGUCGAAGAUACCAGCUGGCUGCAACUGUUUAUUAAAAACACAGCACUGUGCAAACACGAAAGUGGACGUAUACGGUGUGACGCCUGCCCGGUGCCGGAAGGUUAAUUGAUGGGGUUAGCGGUAACGCGAAGCUCUUGAUCGAAGCCCCGGUAAACGGCGGCCGUAACUAUAACGGUCCUAAGGUAGCGAAAUUCCUUGUCGGGUAAGUUCCGACCUGCACGAAUGGCGUAAUGAUGGCCAGGCUGUCUCCACCCGAGACUCAGUGAAAUUGAACUCGCUGUGAAGAUGCAGUGUACCCGCGGCAAGACGGAAAGACCCCGUGAACCUUUACUAUAGCUUGACACUGAACAUUGAGCCUUGAUGUGUAGGAUAGGUGGGAGGCUUUGAAGUGUGGACGCCAGUCUGCAUGGAGCCGACCUUGAAAUACCACCCUUUAAUGUUUGAUGUUCUAACGUUGGCCCCUAAUCGGGGUUGCGGACAGUGUCUGGUGGGUAGUUUGACUGGGGCGGUCUCCUCCUAAAGAGUAACGGAGGAGCACGAAGGUUGGCUAAUCCUGGUCGGACAUCAGGAGGUUAGUGCAAUGGCAUAAGCCAGCUUGACUGCGAGCGUGACGGCGCGAGCAGGUGCGAAAGCAGGUCAUAGUGAUCCGGUGGUUCUGAAUGGAAGGGCCAUCGCUCAACGGAUAAAAGGUACUCCGGGGAUAACAGGCUGAUACCGCCCAAGAGUUCAUAUCGACGGCGGUGUUUGGCACCUCGAUGUCGGCUCAUCACAUCCUGGGGCUGAAGUAGGUCCCAAGGGUAUGGCUGUUCGCCAUUUAAAGUGGUACGCGAGCUGGGUUUAGAACGUCGUGAGACAGUUCGGUCCCUAUCUGCCGUGGGCGCUGGAGAACUGAGGGGGGCUGCUCCUAGUACGAGAGGACCGGAGUGGACGCAUCACUGGUGUUCGGGUUGUCAUGCCAAUGGCACUGCCCGGUAGCUAAAUGCGGAAGAGAUAAGUGCUGAAAGCAUCUAAGCACGAAACUUGCCCCGAGAUGAGUUCUCCCUGACUCCUUGAGAGUCCUGAAGGAACGUUGAAGACGACGACGUUGAUAGGCCGGGUGUGUAAGCGCAGCGAUGCGUUGAGCUAACCGGUACUAAUGAACCGUGAGGCUUAACCUUACAACGCCGAAG
rnacentral:rRNA from 1 species